rnacentral:rRNA from 1 species
CACGUAGGGCGCAAGCGUUGUCCGGAAUUAUUGGGCGUAAAGAGCUCGUAGGCGGUCUGUUGCGUCCGCUGUGAAAACCCGGGGCUUAACCCUGGGCUGGCAGUGGAUACGGACAGACUAGAGGUAGGUAGGGGAGAAUGGAAUUCCCGGUGUAGCGGUGAAAUGCGCAGAUAUCGGGAGGAACACCGGUGGCGAAGGCGGUUCUCUGGGCCUUACCUGACGCUGAGGAGCGAAAGCGUUGGGAGCAAACGGG